rnacentral:rRNA from 1 species
AGGUCUUGACAUCCCUUGCAAAGCUAUGGAGACAUAGUGGAGGUUAUCAAGGAGACAGGUGGUGCAUGGUUGUCGUCAGCUCGUGUCGUGAGAUGUUGGGUUAAGUCCCGCAACGAGCGCAACCCUUAUUGCUAGUUACCAUCAUUAAGUUGGGGACUCUAGCGAGACUGCCAGUGAUAAACUGGAGGAAGUGGGAUGACGUCAAAUCAUCAUGCCCCUUAUGACCUGGGCUACAAACGUGAUACAAUGGCUGAAACAAAGGGCAGCGAAGCAGUGAUGUGGAGCGAAACCCAAAAAAGCAGUCUCAGUUCGGAUUGAAGUCUGCAACUCGACUUCAUGAAGUUGGAAUCGCUAGUAAUCGCGGAUCAGCACGCCGCGGUGAAUACGUUCCCGGGCCUU